rnacentral:lncRNA from 1 species
GGAACAUAUUUCACAUUAUCAUGUAUUGAAAGGAUAUAUUACGUUAUCUUUAUACACAGAAUAGUUCGUUACUAUUAUUUCUAUUAAAUGUGGUAUGCCUUUACGCAUGACAUUCCCUUAUAGUUAUUUGAACACACGUUUUACAUUACAUUUUCAACAUUCCCCACCCACUAUUUACCGUUCGUGGGUGCAAAAUAUGUGCCUUUUAUAUUUAAAUAGCAUGGCCAAAUUAGGAUUAUGAUGUUUUAUGGUAUAGUUUCAAUGUAUGAAAUGUUGUCACUUGUGUGAAAUAAUGUGAAAUUAGAAAAAUUGCUUUGGCAGGAAUAUAACCCACACAUUUUCCCCUGUCAAUGUGGACAUUGUACAAACUUUAGUACUUGUGUCACAUGGUCAGUGAGGAUAUGUAUUUGUCACAGGAUCAGAAAAAUAUGCAGCAUGACCAGGACUCUAACCCGGGUCCUUUAGCUUACAAGGUGAAUGGUGUGAACUGCCAGGCUGCUCACACAUUUUCUUGCCUGUUUAUAAAUUAAUUCCUAUACCGCAACACUAUAGCACAUGAUACUGAAAUUAAUUGCAUGAUCCUAUGUUCAGGGUCAAAUAUCACAGUGUGAAGAAAAUGUGCUGCCUGACUGGUACUCGAACCCGAGGCCUUACCGUCUUUCUCGUGUCCUAUGCUGUGACAAAUUUAUUAAUUCUUACUUGUCUCUCACUACAUUCUGUCACUUUUUAUUUCAUUCAGUACAUGGAGAAAAGUUGUGACAUUUUUAUUUUUAAGGACUGACAGUAUUAUCAUCAUACAUAGUUCAGAGUCUGAAGAAGAAGACGCUGAUCAUAAUCACCAUUUCAAGAGACAGAAAACGUGUGAUGAGUCAUAUGUGGACAGUGAUGCAACUACACUGCCACCAAGUGACAAUGAGACUCUGCCGCCUGCUCUUAAGUUGUAUGUGGAUGUUGACAGUGAUGUGACUACAUUGCCACCAAGUGACAACGAGACUCUGCCUCCUUCUGAUAAG